ACAAGGUUUCCGUAGGUGAACCUGCGGAAGGAUCAUUGUCGCCACAAAUCAAAUCGAACCGCGAACACGUACUGAAAAUCUCGGGUUUGGUGAAGCGGCCUUGUGCCUGUGAAUCCUACGCCCUGCCAACGGAUUUUUAUUGAAGUCUCUAACGGGGCCUUGAAGAAGUCUUGCUGGCAACAUAACAAACCCCGGCACGGAAUGUGCCAAGGAACAACAAACUAAAGAAGGGUGUGGCAUGCGUCACGUUUCGGCAUCCGAUUCGUGCCCGUGUCCUCUACCCUCUGAAAAUCACAAACGACUCUCGGCAACGGAUAUCUCGGCUCACGCAUCGAUGAAGAACGUAGCAAAAUGCGAUACUUGGUGUGAAUUGCAGAAUCCCGUGAACCAUCGAGUUUUUGAACGCAAGUUGCGCCCGAAGCCAUUCGGUCGAGGGCACGUCUGCCUGGGCGUCACGCAUCGCGUCGCCUCCCCCAUCGCAUGUCGAAAUGUCGGCAUGUUGUUCGGGGGGCGGAGAUUGGUCUCCCAUGCCCUCGUGCAUGGUUGGCCCAAAACUAUGGCCUCUUUGAUCGGCACACGGCUGUUGGUGGUUGGAAAGACCUUCGUCUGGAGUCGUGCUGCAAGUCACAGUUAAAGGGCCUUGCUAAGAACCCUGACGCAUCGUGAUUCGGUGCUUCGGACGCGACCCCAGGUCAGGCGGGACUACCCGCUGAGUUUAAGCA
rnacentral:rRNA from 1 species